UGGAGUAUCGCCAAGUGGUAAGGCAAUGGACUUUGAAUCCAUCAUACAAAGGUUCGAUCCCUUUUACUCCAG
rnacentral:tRNA from 2 species